rnacentral:misc_RNA from 1 species
GGCAAAACAGUGGAAUUCUCUGGUUUGACAACAUACUUUUCUGUUCUGUCUUCUGUGAAUGUAAAUGUGGUGUAUUGUUUUACACUCAUAAUAAUUGGUUUUGUGGUUGGUUUAUUACCCUUUUGUGACUCAUUAUCAGAUCUUAAAUUAAUUAGCUGUGCAUAAUGGAGACUGAUGUUGAAGAUUUUCCGAUGGAGGAUGACAACCAAUUCUCAUUGGAAGAAAUGGAGAAUGCACUGCAAAGCAAUGAUGGUGUUCAGCUAGAAUCAAGUAGCAAUAAAUCACAAAAAUCGUUACCGGUAUUGAAGGAGUUGAAUAGUAAUCCUGCAAAACGAGUCAAACGAUUGGUUGCCAAUAAACCCAUGUAUCGUCAACUCUCUUCUUCGGACAACUCCGAAGUGAACACUUCCAGCAGCAAUAGUUCAGACAACAUUGCCAAGCAGCCUGCGCCGAAAAAGAAGAAGAUUACGCGUCUGAAAAAGCCGUUAGCCAAGAAAACCAAAUACAUGGACAAGGAGAAUAUCUCUGAGAAUGCAUUGGAAAACAACAACAGAAUGGCUCUUCUGGAUAGAACCAACUCUUCAGAAAGGCUGCUCAAAAUGCCCAAGGAUGCGAAUAGUGACAAGGUUGUCACCUUUGCCAAGGAUGGCAAGGAUUUGAAUGCCACUGAAAAAGUUGUCACAGGUCCAGUGAAAGAAGGGGUAACAGAGAAACCGAUCCCUGUUUACAAACAGGAUCUAGGUAACAUGCGGUUAACUCCUCCUCCGGUAGACAAUAGAAUGGACUUGUACGAGUUUGAAAUCGACGAAAACGAACAACCCGUCAAGAAGAAAGCGAAGCGGCAACCGAGAGCUGUGAAAAGUCGCAGGAAAAUCGCUAAAAACCCGGUGAAAAACGUUUUGCAGAAUAUUGUUGUUCCUGAGCGCACAAUCAGUUUGAGAGGGGACACCACUGUUAAGGAGAACAAGUCGAAAACAUUACAAUUUGGUAAUGUGAAAAUGAACAUUGUUUCACAAAAUAAAGAGUUCGAUACCUCUGAUGUUCCGGUGAUUUUUGAACCAGAGGUUCGUGGAAGGGACCAAAAUCAUUCAGUUCAUAAAGUACAUCCAGCAGUAAAUCAUACCGUUCAGCAAUCUAAUAAAAGCGACGAGAAUUCUAAUAAAAAUGUCAGAAAAUCGAUUUUAGGAAACGGGUCAAUUCUAAAAGUCACUUCGAGAAAUACAAUACAAACCAAAAAAAAUCAAACCAUCCAUCGUCCAAUUUUGCAAACUCGUUCAGUGAAUCCUGCGGCAAGCACGUCUCUGGCAAACGAUUCAACCAUUGAUUCGGAGGACGAUUUUCUUGGAUUUGAUGAUGUACCAGUAGUUGAAGUUCGCAAAGAUAAAUGCAGUUUAUCGAAUGCUAAUCAUUCAGUUCAUAAAACCCAUCUAACAGCAAAUCGCACGGCCAACAAAUCUCUGAUAAUCGAUUCAAGCAUUGAUUCUGAGAACGAUUUUCUUGGAUUUGAUGAUGUACCAGUAGUUGACGUUCGCACAGAUAAAUGCAGUUCAUUGAGUUCCAAACAUUCAGUUCAUAUAAUCAAUUCAACACCAAAUCGCACGAUGAACAAGUCACUGGCAAAUGAUUCAAACAUUGAUUUUGAGAACAACUUUGGAUUAGAUAAUGAACCAGAUGUAACACUAGUUGAUGUUCACAAAGAUAAAAACAGUUCAUCGAAUGCAAACCAAUCAGUUCAUAAAAUUCAUCAAACACCAAAUCGCACUGUUCAGCAACCAAAUAAAAGUGACGAGAAUGGAUUCGACAAGAAUUCAAUAAAAAUGCCAGCACAUCGUGUUUAGGGAACAGAUCAAUAAGAAAAGUCACUUUGAGAAAUGAAAAACCAGAUCGAUCAGUUGAAGAAAUGAGAAAACAGAAUCGCGCGAUCCAUCAUCCUAUUUUGCAUAUUCGUUCAGUAGAUCCUGCAGCGAACAAGUCUCUGGCAAACGAUUCAAACAUUGAUUUUGAGAACAAUUUUGGAUUCGAUGAUGAACCAGAUUUACCAAUAGUUGAUGUCAGCAAAAAUAAAAGCAGUUCAUCGAAUGCAAAUCAUUCUGUUCAUAAAGUCCAUCCAACAACAAAUCGCACCGUUCAGAAAUCUAAAAAGAGCGAAGCAAAAUUUGGUAUCAGUAACAAUUUUGGAUUCGAUGAUGAUUCAACCAAUUCGGUCAUCGUUGACAAAAAUAAAACCAAAACAUCGAAUACAUCCACAGCAUCUACUGCAAAUACAUCUAUUAAAUCUACUUCAAAUACAUCCCUCGCAUCUACUUCGAGUGUAUCCAUCAAGUCCACUUCUAAUGGCUCCAUUUUAAAUGCAUCUACGACAAGUCUGGAAAAUGAUAAGGCAAAAAAACCAGAAGUACAAUUCAAUGAUGUGAUAAAGCGAUUGAAAGGACAGUUGAACAUCACUGCUGUUUCCACGCCUGUGUCAACCAAACAGACAAAACUGAAUUUCAGCAGCUUCAAAAAUAAGAGUACAGUCAGCAAUGAGUCUGCUGCUGACACUACAAUUUGCUCUCCGAUCGCUCAGCCGACUAGUUCGGGUAAUUUGGGACUAACACCUACUUUCUUGAAACCACCAAGGAAAUCGUACACGCACACACCGACAGCGAAGAAAGUAGUGCGCUUCGGCACUUCGUUUGCUGUCGAUCAGAAUGAGAUGAAAGACGACGAUGAGUUGGCCAAAGAUCUGUUCGAAGAAACUGUCAAAGAAAAGCCGGCUCCCAAGAAAGCUAACCAAACCUAUAAGAAGACCAGCAAAGCUGGAAAGAAAGAGGAGAAAGAAAUUGAAAGACUGGUAUCUGCAAUCAAUUCUCAGUUCCAAAAAGUCGAGGAAUUCCAGCUAUGCGUUGAGAAGUAAUCACAUUCAACUUCACUUGUAAAUAAGGUCAAUGUAAAUAUUCUUGAAUCGUAUUUUUAUUCUUGUACAAUUCCUAUAGAUUCUUAUCAUUCAUUCAAGUGAUAUCUGUAAUUUUCAUUGUCUUUGUGAUUUAAUAUUAUCAAUAUUAGUAGAAUUAACUUUUUAUGGAUUUUUCUUAUUAAAACUUUCAACGAGUCAUUAUUAUUCAAGUUUGUUGUAGUUCAUCGUCUUAUUUGUUAGAAUUUACUGCUUUUACUAAUUUUUCUUUUCGUUCCCUCAUAUAUCCUAUUUUCUUAGUUUGUCAUCUUGGAUACUGCUCAUGUUUUAGAUGGGGUUUUCAAUAAUAUGAGUGACCUUCCCCUUACUUUUUGGGUUAUUAGUGACGAUUUUUAUUACAAUUUGUUGCUUAAUUCAAGCUCAACUUAAAUUUGUAACAUCGAAAAAUUUGGAACUUCAUUAAAAAAAUUAUUUUAAUUUUUUUCAAAUUAUCAACUAUUCUCAAUUUUAGAGCUCUUACUUUACCUCCUAAUCAUAAUCCAAUUCAACAAAGAGAAAAAAAUCGAUUUGUAGUUUACUUAUGUAAAACUUUUGCCUGUAAUAUAAUCAUUAAAUUAAUUAGUAUUAUCGUAUGAUAGAAUGACGUUAGUCUCUCCUACUUUUUUAUGUUAAUAAACUAAGUAUAUUAUUAAAUUUUAAGUGAAAUGACUCCUCAAGUAGACUGAUAAUUCUAAUUUUUAGCUGAAUACAACAAAUUGUAUUUGAUAUAAUUAUUUGAGGGAAAAUACUAACCUCAUGCACUGUCACAUAGUGAAAACUUAGGCUAGAAUUCAUAAAGUUGACAAUGGCUCAGUUUUUACGUAUUUUUACAAACAGAAAUCACAAGUUUUGAAAUUAAUGUGCAUUUUUUACUUAGCCCAAUGUUAAGGGUUGAUAUUUUAUUUUAAUUGAUAUUAUUAUGAAAACUCCACUUCCUAAAAGGAUAUCCGUUGCACGUUUUAAUGCUGGCAGACCAUUAAAUAAGUACAAUUUUGAAUUUAGAUUAAUAUUGAAUUAGCGUAACUGCAAUUUGUAUUACUAUACUUUUUUUAAGAAUUUGUUGUCCACUCGAAUUGAGUAUGAAGCUGAUUAAUAACGUUUUAAUUCAGUUAUUUUUCUAUCAUUUGGUGAUAAUGAAAGUAUUAAUUCUUCAUAAUUAUCAUCUAUGGUUUCUCAUUAUUGUCACUUUUUAUAGGUGUUUUGUAAUAAUGAAGUUUACAAAAUUACAAAUUAAUUUAUGUGAUUAAAAUCUGAUUUUGUGAAUCAAACUCUGAUUUUAAUAGAAACAUUUAUAGGAUACGUAUUGUAAAUAAGAUAAAUUCACUCUCUAGGCUUGAAAAUUUAUGUAUCUGUAAUUUAUAUAAUCAUAAUUUGAAUUUUAACUUUAUAUUCUAUAUUCGCAAUGAAAAAAUGGGAAUUAAUUUCCCUUACAGUAAUAAAGACCCAAUUACAAGAUUAUCGGAAAUUCAUAGCUCAUGAUAUUCAUAUGAAAUUAUUGUAUAUAUUCAGUACCUAUCGGAAAAACAUGAAAUCUCCUGAAAGUUCAGUACAGCUCAUCAACUCAUUUCUUUGAAAUUUCUGUAUCAAUUUAUAUUUGUUCUUUAAAUCUAAUGAAAAUCUAAUAAAACAUUGAGAACAAA